GAUCGAGCGUGGCCAACA
rnacentral:snRNA from 1 species